rnacentral:tRNA from 1 species
GGUGGAGUUCCCGAGCGGUCAAAGGGACUAGACUGUAAAUCUGGCGGCUAUGCCUUCGAAGGUUCGAAUCCUUCCUCCACCACCA